rnacentral:snRNA from 1 species
GGAUAUGAUGGCUAUCUGGCUACGACAUCUGUCAUCCCAUUGAUCACCAGGGUUUAUUCAGGUGGUCUGCAUGGUGAGGUGGGUGUUCCUUUCCUCACUUACUUCUCCACAUGCAUCCCUCCCGAAGCUUCGUGCUUGGUUGAACAGGACAACCUUCCCCAAUAGAGACAUACCAUUCUUCAGUCAACGGAAUAUGAGUAGCUGCCCUUCCCUGCUAGAAGAAGCUCCCAAGGUCCAUGUGUAGGAGAACACAGGAUAAUCAAGCUUCCAAAACUCCAGACACAUACAAAUGAGGUUCUGCACAUGGCAGUCUGCCUUCCUUU